UAUUGAUAGUAUAACUUAGUACAAUUGCCUUCCAAGCAAAAAGACCUAAAGGUCAAUAUA
rnacentral:tRNA from 1 species